rnacentral:rRNA from 1 species
UGGUAAUGCCGGAUGCUCCGGUUGGAUGCAUGUCCUUCCGGGAAAGAUCCGUCGGUAUGGGAUGGGGUCGCGUCCUAUCAGCUUGAUGGCGGGGUAACGGCCCACCAUGGCUUCGACGGGUAGCCGGCCUGAGAGGGCGACCGGCCACAUUGGGACUGAGAUACGGCCCAGACUCCUACGGGAGGCAGCAGUGGGGAAUAUUGCACAAUGGGCGCAAGCCUGAUGCAGCGACGCCGCGUGCGGGAUGGAGGCCUUCGGGUUGUAAACCGCUUUUGAUCGGGAGCAAGCCCUUCGGGGUGAGUGUACCUUUCGAAUAAGCACCGGCUAACUACGUGCCAGCAGCCGCGGUAAUACGUAGGGUGCAAGCGUUAUCCGGAAUUAUUGGGCGUAAAGGGCUCGUAGGCGGUUCGUCGCGUCCGGUGUGAAAGCCCAUCGCUUAACGGUGGGUCUGCGCCGGGUACGGGCGGGCUGGAGUGCGGUAGGGGAGACUGGAAUUCCCGGUGUAACGGUGGAAUGUGUAGAUAUCGGAAA